GGAAUCUUCGGCAAUGGACGAAAGUCUGACCGAGCAACGCCGCGUGAGUGAAGAGGGUUUUCGGAUCGUAAAACUCUGUUGGUAGAGAAGAACGUUGGUGAGAGUGGAAAGCUCAUCAAGUGACGGUAACUACCCAGAAAGGGACGGCUAACUACGUGCCAG
rnacentral:rRNA from 1 species